UACGAAGGGGGCUAGCGUUGUUCGGAGUUACUGGGCGUAAAGGGCGCGUAGGCGGCCUUCCAAGUCGGGUGUGAAAGCCCACGGCUCAACCGUGGAAUUGCACUCGAGACUGAAGGGCUCGAGGACGGGAGAGGAUGGUGGAAUUCCCGGUGUAGUGGUGAAAUGCGUAGAUAUCGGGAGGAACACCAGUGGCGAAGGCGACUACCUGGCCUGUUCUUGACGCUGAGGCGCGAAAGCUAGGGGAGCAAACGGG
rnacentral:rRNA from 1 species